UACGGAGGGUGCGAGCGUUAAUCGGAAUUACUGGGCGUAAAGAGUGCGUAGGCGGCUUCUUAAGUCAAUGGUGAAAGCUUAGCGCUUAACGCUAGAAGUGCCACUGAUACUGGGAAGCUUGAGUCAAGAAGAGGUAAGCAGAAUUCAUAGUGUAGCAGUGAAAUGCUUAGAUACUAUGAGGAAUACCAACAGCGAAGGCAGCUUACUGGUCUUGUACUGACGUUGAGGCACGAAAGCGUGGGUAGCGAACAGG
rnacentral:rRNA from 1 species